AAGUCGUAACAAGGUUUCCGUAGGUGAACCUGCGGAAGGAUCAUUAAUGAAACUUUUGGUUGUGCUGGCUUUAUUGCAUGUGCACACCUUGAUUCACACACCCGUGCACUUUGACCGGUUCGUUUGGACCGGUACUUUUACACACUCGAACGUAAUGGAAUGUCAAUGUACAAUGUACAACUAAAACAACUUUCAACAACGGAUCUCUUGGCUCUCGCAUCGAUGAAGAACGCAGCGAAAUGCGAUAAGUAAUGUGAAUUGCAGAAUUCAGUGAAUCAUCGAAUCUUUGAACGCACCUUGCACCCUUUGGUAUUCCGAAGGGUACGCCCGUUUGAGUGUCAUUGUAAUCUCACUACGACCCUUGGGUUUUGUAUGUGGACUUGGACGUUGCCGUGUCAUUACGGCUCGUCUCAAAUGUGUUUGUGUACCUGCGUUGCGGUGUACUCGGUGUAAUAAAUAUUCGCCAGAGUCGUGACAAAAGGGAUGCUGCCAACCGUCUUUGGACAAUUUCUGACAAUUUGACCUCAAAUCGGGUGGGACUACCCGCUGAACUUAAGCAUAUCAAUAAGCGGAGGAAAAGAAACUAACAAGGAUUCCCCUAGUAACGGCGAGUGAAGAGGGAAAAGCUCAAAUUUUGAAUCUGGUGUCUUUGACCCCCGAGUUGUAAUCUAGAGAAGUGUUUUCCGUGUCGGACCGUGUACAAGUUCCCUGGAACGGGGCGUCAUAGAGGGUGAGAAUCCCGUAUAUGCCACGGACUACCGAUGCUCUGUGAUACACUCUCAACGAGUCGAGUUGUUUGGGAAUGCAGCUCAAAAUGGGUGGUAAAUUCCAUCUAAAGCUAAAUAUUGGCGAGAGACCGAUAGCGAACAAGUACCGUGAGGGAAAGAUGAAAAGCACUUUGGAAAGAGAGUGAAACAGUACGUGAAAUUGUUGAAAGGGAAGCGUUUGAAGUCAGUCAUGUUUGUCGGGAUUCAGCCUGGCUUUUGCCUGGUGUACUUUCCGUCCGACAGGUCAGCAUCAGUUUUGACCGAGGGAAAAAGCCGUUGGGAAUGUGGCUGUCUUCGGGCAGUGUUAUAGCCCGGCGGUGUAUGUCUCGGUUGGGACUGAGGAACGCAGCGCGCCACUUAAUCGGCCGGGGGUUGUAGUGGCCCCCCGACUCGCGCUUAGGAUGCUGGCAUAAUGGCUUUAAGCGACC
rnacentral:rRNA from 1 species